AGCUGAUUUAUCCCUGCUUUUUGUUUUGUUUUGUUUUGUUUGUUUGUUUGUUUGUUUUCCUUUAAGAACUGUGCAUUCUUAAUGUGUUCUGUUCAUCAGUACAGGUGGUUAUACCUGUAUUUUGUACUUCGACUACCUAAUCUGCUCUUAUUUCUGUAUUCCUGUUCAUUCCAGGAUCCAGUCUUGCCUAAUAAAAGAACUACUUAGUACUGAAUUUCCAAGCUUAUUCAAGUUCACUUUUAUGAGUACAUCAAUCUCUGCAGUCUGAGGCAACUCAGGAGGAGUAAUGGAGGUUGCUCCUGUAGAUCCUUUGGAUCCUUCUCUCCCACACUCAGCUCUUUACCAGGAAAGCAGUCUCUCUUCUAAAGUCAGUACACAGCAACAAUGACUGCACUUUGGGUCAGGAUAACAUAAUUUGUCACCUUCUCAUAAUCAAGACACUUUCCAUGAAGUCAGCUUGCCAUGAAUGAGGCUGGAGAGGGUGUGAAGAGAAACAACUGCAAAAAAAUCCUGGAUUUUCAGCAAAAACAGUUGAUAAAACUUUGGAAAUACCCCAACUUUUUUCUAGGAAAGCAAUUACUUGGCAUGGAAAUAAAAGAGAAUCAGUCUGAAAUGCUGCUAUAACAAAAUAAGGUCUUGUAGAAGAAUUGACAUUUAAUGUGAUGAGUUAUAAACAAUUAAGGACGAGAUCAGAGAAUUCUAUUUUCCCUAAUGAGAUUUGUCAGUAUUGAAAAAAAAGCUCACAGAAGUGUGUUUAUUUUUAAAUGUUUUAUCUUUGUCUCUCUAUUUUUUUUUUGUUGUUUUUUUUUUUUUUUUUUUUGUUGUUGUUGUUUUUUUUUUUCUGGUGAAUAAUGUUUGCAUUAAUUUUCAGUCUUUUGUCACCAGAGCAUGCUUACAUUAUCAUAAGUAUCAUUUAAGAAUGUAAAAGAAAGGGUUUUGUUCUUUCUGAGUUUGAGGGUUCGCUGAUCUAGAUACCUAGUUCAGAUGGUCUGCAAUUACCUUGGAAAAUAUUCUUCAAUUGAUACCUCUUUUCCAUGUCACUGACAUAGCUUUUAAACUGUGUCUGGCAUUAAAAUCAUAGCAUAAAGAAUAGGACUAACACUUUUUCUAAGAAGUAAGAUAAUUUACUUUAUGCGUUCUUAGUAUUUCAUGAACUAAUAAGCUAUCACAAAUUAUUUGGUAUAUUUUGGUAUGAAUUGUAUAUUUAGAACUAGCAGAUAACUCUGAAUGUUUAGGAAGGAACUUACCUUUUCACAUUUUUGACAGGACUUAUUUUAGACACUGGCAACUUCAGGGUUUCAUUGCAAAUAAGAUAUUUGAGGUAUUUACAACAGAGGAAUAAUGGGUAACAUUCCAUUUGAAUUGAAAUAAAAAUGAUGCCUGAUUAUUUGUAUCUCCCAGAAAUUUCAAAAAAAUGAAGGAAAACUCAGGGCCAAAAAAAUACUGAAGUUGUCAGUAAUAAAAAAAUGAUUUAAUGCAGUAAAGAAUGCAAUAAAUUAUGGAAAAUAAAA